rnacentral:lncRNA from 1 species
CUCAGUAUCAUGGUUGUGCUGUGAAUCUCAAGGCAAAUCAUAUUGGUUGAGAUGACUGACUGAAACUUUGAGUUUCAGGUGAUUGUAUUGUUUCUCCUUGCUACCAACACCGCCAGUUUCUUUCUUUUCCUUAGUAGGUUCUUAUACUGAUAGAGUGUGCCUAGGCAGUAAAUGAACUCCUGCAAUACCAAUUCCUUAUGAGUUUUUCUGGACUGAAGUCCUUUAUGUUCAUGUGCCUCUGUCCGGCUGUGUAUCCCAACUUGUAAUGAUGCUAAGUACACUGAAGUGAGUGUCUGCCUGAAUUCACAUAUUUCAAAUUUAGUUGAGAUCAAUAUUGUGCUAUUCUGCACCUUCCUGUGAUACUACUUACCUAAGUACCUUAAAACUUUUAUCCUUUUAAGCUUGUAAAACUCUUGAAUUAGUAUGAACAAAUUGGGUGGAAAAUCAUGUGUGUUGUCUGAGGUUUUUGUCUUGUUUGUCCAGAUUUGGUGGAGUCGUCGUAGAUCAGCUUUCUGAGUUCAAAGCGAGAGUGUGGGGUUGUGACAUACGUGAACACCUACCUUUCAGACAAGAUGGCGCAUAACAAUGAAUUUCACCUGGCAAUAGUCAUGUAAAUGUUGAUCUUGUUUUCAUGUUACUUCUUGCUUCAGUUACUGUGACAUUUUAUAUGGCUGUUCCUGGCCUAAGAUUGUGACAGCGAAAUGACCAGUUUCCAUCAACAGACAGCUUGGGGUAGAGCUAACUGAUCUAUGUCUGCAAUUCAUAUUUAGUUUUCUUAACUGUGCUAGACAUGGCAAUGGACCCUGGUAAGUGACGUCAGACAAAGAGAAAAACACUAGUGUAGCAUGUAGUUGGACUCGGUAGUUUGUUAUUGCUCUUCUCCACUGGGAUGAGGGCUGCACUAAGCUAGGAGGUCCAUCCAUCCAUCAACAGGGGAUCUGAACUGGACUGACCUACAGAUCCUCCGAUUGAUGCAGUUUCUUUUCUUAUUACUGGUGAAUGCCUCAAGCACACAGUAGAUAGACUUGAUGUAGAUGAACGCAACGUCUUCCAUUUUGCAAGCGAACAGUAGCCAUGAAACAAAAGUAAGAGAAAAAAAGUACGAGGAUCGUGUAUUAGCAAUUAUUAUGUGUACACCCUGCUUUCUAGUUAUUUCUUCUUUGUGACUCAGUUUUGUACUAGGAUGGUAGACGGCACCCAAUUAUGAGUCAUGAGUGUGUUGGUUGUCGCUACCAAUACACCUAGUUUCUUUCUCUGUUUUUUUUUUCAGUUCAAGUUUGUUUGUUAUACUGCCAGGUGCCUAGGUAGUAUAUGGACUCCUGGAACAUGAACGUACCAAUUUUCGGUGACUAAGUUUUUCAUGAGUCUGUUUCCUAUUGUUUACGUGCCUCUGUCUCUGCCUGGAUAUGUAUUCCAACCUGUGUGGCAGUAUUACCAAUGAGAUACCACGAGCGCCUAUAAUCUGUUCGUCUUAUGGCUUGCGAGAUCUCAAAUAUGUGUACAAGUUGUACCCAAGUUUCUUCUCUGGUGUCUAAACUUGUGUCUUUUUGUUUGUCCAGAUUCAGUGGAGUCGCCAUGAGAUCAGCUUUCAGAGUACAAAGUGGUCGCUGUUUCGAGUGCGUGGAGUUGUCACAGAUGGGAUCAACUUUCUGACAAGGUAGCGUGUGGCGUGAUGAUCUACAGAAUUUCACUUGGCAGCGAUGAGAAGUCUAUGGUGUUCUUGUUUUCAUGCUACAGGUCACAUCCUUCUUUUAAACAUUUUUUAAACAAAAUUGAUGAAGGUAAACCAAAGUUAGAAAAGCAAAUACUCUGGCACUGUCCACUUGAAGCCUUGGACUCCGGCAAGGCAGUGUUGCAUCAUUCCUCCAAGACCAAAGGAUUUAU